GGGGUUCACAAGCAUAUCAUCUCCCCUGUAAUCUCAAUCACCUCAAGCAUAAUAAACAAAGCCGCAAUAUGAACCUUAAAACAAGGGGAUUAAAAAAUGCUUUCAGUUUUCUUAUUUCCUUUCUUUUUUACCAAAUUCCUGGUUAAAAAAUGAUUGAGAAAAGAUUGCCAAGCAUAAUCAUUGUAUUUCCCUAAUCUUGUGCAAAUCAUAUUUCUUCGCUACUCAGUCAAGCCACACAAUCUGG
rnacentral:misc_RNA from 1 species